AUUGAACGCUGGCGGCAGGCCUAACACAUGCAAGUCGAGCGGAGCGGCGGACGGGUGAGUAAUGCCUAGGAAUCUGCCUGGUAGUGGGGGAUAACGUCCGGAAACGGGCGCUAAUACCGCAUACUAUCAGAUGAGCCUAGGUCGGAUUAGCUAUUUGGUGGGGUAAAGGCCUACCAAGGCGACGAUCCGUAACUGGUCUGAGAGGAUGAUCAGGCACACGGGAACUGAGACACGGUCCAGACGCCUACGGGAGGCAGCAGUGGGGAAUAUUGGACAAUGGGCGAAAGCCUGAUCCAGCCAUGCCGCGUGUGUGAAGAAGGUCUUCGGGUUGUAAAGCACUUUAAGUUGGGAGGCGUUACCAGCAGAAUAAGCACCGGCUAACUCCGUGCCAGCAGCCGCGGUAAUAC
rnacentral:rRNA from 1 species